rnacentral:rRNA from 1 species
AUUGAACGCUGGCGGCAGGCUUAACACAUGCAAGUCGAACGAAUAGCGGACGGGUGAGAACUGCUUGGGAAUCUAGCUUAUGUAGCGGGCAAACGAAGGGAAACUUUAGCUAAUAGCGCUUACCAUAGGAUGAGAUCAAGGGGGAUUAGGUAGCUGGUGAGGUAAAGGCUCAUUAGGCCGACGCUCCAUAGCUGGUCUGAGAGGAUGACCAGCCAGACUGGGACUGAGACACGGCCCAGACUCCUACGGGAGGCAGCAGUGGGGAAUAGUGCGCAAUGGAGGGAACCUGACGCAGCCAUGCCGCGUGAAUGAAGAAGGCCUUCGGGUUGUAAAGGACUUUUGUCAGGGAAGCGGUACCUAAAGAAUAAGCACCGGCUAAAUACGUGCCAGCAGCCGCGGUAAUAC